rnacentral:rRNA from 1 species
GUCUACGGCCAUGCCACCCUGAACGUGUCCGAUCCCGUCUGAUCUCAGAAGCUAAGCAGGGUCGGGCCUGGUUAGCACUUGGAUGGGAGACCACCUAGGAAGACCAGGCAGGCGUUAAAA